GACAUUAUUGGCCUUGAUGUGUCCAGUGAUAUCAGGCUCUUCUUUGAAUCAAGCUUCCUCUCCCAGCACCAAAACGAAACUCACAUUCGUUUGAUUCCAAAAGUAACAAGCCCAAGGAAAGUCUCGGAGUAUAGACCAAUAGCUCUUUGUACCGUGCAUUACAAAAUUAUUGCAAAGAUUCUUACAAAGAGACUCCAACCAUUGCUAGAUACUCUCAUCUCUACCAAUCAAUCGGCCUUUGUUCCAAAUAGAGCUAUAUCCGAUAACAUGUUGAUCACUCAUGAGAUCCUCCACUUUUUGCGUACUUCAGAAGCUAAAGUAAGAUGCUCUAUGGCGGUUAAGACCGACAUGAGCAAAGCAUACGAUCGUAUUGAAUGGUCCUUUCUUGAGGCUGUCCUAAGGCAACUUGGUUUUCAUGAGAAAUGGAUAUCUUGGAUUAUGGCGUGUGUAGGCUCUGUUUCCUACUCCUUCCUCAUCAAAGGCUCUCCCAAAGGUCAAGUCAUUCCUUCUCGAGGCUUAAGACAAGGAGACCCUCUCUCCCCUUACCUCUUUAUAUUGUGUACCGAAGUUCUUUCCGGUCUUUGUCAACGUGCUCAAGACCGAGGUCACUUGCCGGGUAUUAAAGUAGCUCGUGGCAGCCCGCCCAUCAAUCACUUGCUCUUCGCCGACGACACAAUGUUCUUUUGCAGAACAAAGCCAAAAAGUUACAAGAAACUCAAGGAAAUCAUAGCCCGGUAUGGAGAAGCUUCGGGUCAGGUCAUUAACUUCGAUAAAUCAGCCAUUACCUUCUCUAAUAAAACCCCUGCAGCAACAAAAGCCUUUGCUAAGAUAACUUUGGGUAUAGAGAAGGAAGGAGGGGUUGGUAAAUACCUUGGCUUACCGGAGCACUUUGGAAGAAGAAAGAAGGACAUUUUCACUUCAAUGGUGGACAAAAUUCGCCAAAGGUCUCAUAGUUGGACUUCUAAAUUUCUCUCCGCAGCCGGCAAGCAAGUUCUUUUAAAAUCCGUCAUAGCAGCGAUGCCGCUCUACGCUAUGUCAUGCUUCAAGCUCCCUUUAUCACUGUGCAAGAGAAUACAAUCAAUCUUAACUCGAUUCUGGUGGGAUAGCAAACCCGAGAAGCGUAAAAUUAGCUGGGUUGCUUGGGAUACUUUGACUCUACCUAAAUCUGAAGGUGGCUUAGGUUUCAGGGAAAUAGCACAAUUCAAUGAUGCCCUCUUAGCUCGCAUCAGCUGGAAAAUCUUGAAUUUCCCGGACUCAUUGCUGGCUCGGGUUCUUCUUGGCAAAUACUGUAAUGAGAAGCCCUUUCUAGAAGUUUCAGUUGCUUCUUCUUGCUCUCAUGGCUGGAGGAGCAUCAUGGCAGGUCGUGAAGUGCUGAGGAAAGGACUUGGUUGGACUGUUGGUGAUGGUACCCUAAUCAAUAUCUGGCAGGAACUCUGGCUUUCCAUCAACCACCCUUUGCAACCAAUCGGCCCUCCUACAGAAGCAAACAGAGAACUAAAAGUCAGUGCUCUGCUAUCCCAGGAAUCUAAUGAUUGGAACUUAGCCUCUAUCCGCCAACACUUACCUCAGUAUGAGGCUACCAUACGCAGGCUGAUCCCGAGCUCUAGGAAAAAGAAAGACUCUCUUGUUUGGCUCCCUGAGAAAUCCGGCUCAUUUUCAACUAAGCCUGGCUACAUC
rnacentral:lncRNA from 1 species